rnacentral:rRNA from 1 species
GUGGGGAAUAUUGCACAAUGGGCGCAAGCCUGAUGCAGCAACGCCGCGUGAGGGACGACGGCCUUCGGGUUGUAAACCUCUUUUAGCAGGGAAGAAGUGAAAGUGACGGUACCUGCAGAAAAAGCACCGGCUAACUACGUGCCAGCAGCCGCGGUAAUACGUAGGGUGCAAGCGUUGUCCGGAAUUAUUGGGCGUAAAGAGCUCGUAGGCGGUUUGUCGCGUCUGCUGUGAAAACCCGAGGCUCAACCUCGGGCCUGCAGUGGGUACGGGCAGACUAGAGUGCGGUAGGGGAGAUUGGAAUUCCUGGUGUAGCGGUGGAAUGCGCAGAUAUCAGGAGGAACACCGAUGGCGAAGGCAGAUCUCUGGGCCGUAACUGACGCUGAGGAGCGAAAGCGUGGGGAGCGAACAGGAUUAGAUACCCGAGUAGUCC